GGCCAGUUAGCUCAGUCAGUUGAGCGUGGCGCUGACAGCACCAAGGUCGCGGGUUUGAUUCCUGUUCGGUCCU
rfam:Apaloderma vittatum contig87693, whole genome shotgun sequence.